rnacentral:tRNA from 1 species
UUUUAAAUAGUUUAUAUAAAACAUAAUAUUGAAGAUAUUAAAAAGAAAUACUAAUCUUUAAAAU